AACGAACGCUGGCGGCAGGCUUAACACAUGCAAGUCGAACGGGUGAGUGUAGCAAUACAUCUCAUCAGUGGCAGACGGGUGAGUAACACGUGGGAACCUUCCUCGUUGUACGGAACAACUCAGGGAAACUUGAGCUAAUACCGUAUAAGUCCGAGAGGAGAAAGAUUUAUCGCAAUGAGACGGGCCCGCGUCGGAUUAGCUAGUUGGUGGGGUAACGGCCUACCAAGGCGACGAUCCGAGCUGAUCUGAGAGGAUGAUCAGCCACACUGGGACUGAGACACGG
rnacentral:rRNA from 1 species